rnacentral:tRNA from 2 species
AAGGCUUUAUCUUAAUUAAAGUAUCUGUUUUGCAUGCAGAAGAUGUGGGGUAAAAUCCGCAAGUCUUA